CCCUUAGAUGUCCUGGGCUGCACGCGCGCUACGCUGAUGUGUCCAGUAAGCACCUAACCUCUUCCGAAAGGAACGGGUAACCUUUGCAAAGCACAUCGUGAUGGGGAUAGAUUAUUGCAAUUAUUAGUCUUGAACGAGGAAUUCCUAGUAAGCACAAGUCAUCAGCUUGUGUUGAUUACGUCCCUGCCCUUUGUACACACCGCCCGUCGCUACUACCGAUUGGAUGGCUUAGUGAGACCCUCGGACCGAUAGGCUGUCGCUGCAGCAAUGUGGCGACUGGCCCGUCUUGGGAAGAAGGUCAAACUUGACUGUCUAGAGGAAGUAAAAGUCGUAACA
rnacentral:rRNA from 1 species